rnacentral:tRNA from 1 species
UUUAUUAGUUGAAGCCAAAACAGAGGCCUA